rnacentral:rRNA from 1 species
UACGAAGGGGGCUAGCGUUGCUCGGAAUCACUGGGCGUAAAGGGUGCGUAGGCGGCGCGGUAAGUCGGGUGUGAAAUCUCGGGGCUUAACUCCGAAACUGCAUUCGAUACUGCCGUGCUUGAGGACUGGAGAGGAGACUGGAAUUUACGGUGUAGCGGUGAAAUGCGUAGAUAUCGUAAGGAAGACCAGUGGCGAAGGCGGGUCUCUGGACAGUUCCUGACGCUGAGGCACGAAGGCCAGGGGAGCAAACGGG